GACGAACCGAGCGAACGUUGUUCGGAAUCACUGGGCUUAAAGGGCGCGUAGGCGGGUGCUCAAGUCCGGGGUGAAAUCCUCCAGCUCAACUGGAGAACUGCCUCGGAUACUGGGCGUCUCGAGUGUGGUAGGGGUAUGCGGAACUAUCGGUGGAGCGGUGAAAUGCGUUGAUAUCGAUAGGAACUCCGGUGGCGAAGGCGGGUUGCUGGGCCGACACUGACGCUGAUGCGCGAAAGCCAGGGGAGCGAACGGG
rnacentral:rRNA from 1 species